rnacentral:rRNA from 1 species
UACGGGGGGGGCAAGCGUUGUUCGGAAUUACUGGGCGUAAAGGGCUCGUAGGCGGCCAACUAAGUCAGACGUGAAAUCCCACGGCUCAACCGUGGAACUGCUGGGUAUACUGGGUGUCUUGAGCCAACUAGGGGCUGCCGGAACAAAUGGUGGAGCGGUGAAAUGCGUAGAUAUCAUUUGGAACGCCAAUGGUGAAAACAGGCAGCUGGGGUUGUGCUGACGCUGAGACACGAAAGCCAGGGGAGCGAACGGG